UUUUUGAGAUGGAGUCUCUCUCUGUCGCCCAGGCUGGAGUGCAGUGGCGCGAUCUCAGCUCACUGCAAGCUCCACCCCCUGGGUUCAUGCCAUUCUCCUGCCUCACCCUCCUGAGUAGCUGGGACAACAGGCGCCCGCCACCACGCCCGGCUAAUUUUUUGUAUUUUUAUAGAGAUGGGGUUUCUCCAUGUUGGUCAGGCUGGUCUCGAACUCCCGACCUCAGGUGAUCUGCCCACCUCAGCCUCCCAAAAUGCUGGGAUUAUAGACUGAGCCACUCCCCAGACCCAGUCUAUCUAGUCAAAAGAAAAACAUGAGACAAAACCUAAUUGAGAGACACUCUUCAUAACACCUGGCCAAUACUCCACAAAACUGUCAAGGUCAUGAAAACAAGGAGCUGUCACAGGCCAGAGGAUCCUGAAGAGACUUAAUGACUAAAUAUAAUGUGGUAUCUUGGGUGGGAUCUGGGAAGAGAAAUCACUCCUAUAAUCCCAGCACUUUGGAAGUCCGAGGCGGUGGAUCACCUGAGGUCAGGAGUUUGAGACCAGCCUGACCAACAUGGUGAAACCCCAUCUCUAGUAGAAAUACACAAAAUUAGCUGGGCAUGGUGGCGGUGUAAUCCCAGCUACUCGAGAGGCUAAGGCAGGAGAAUUGCUUGAACCUGGGAGGCGGAGGUUGCGGUAAGCUGAGAUUGUACCACUGCACUCCAGCCUGUGUGACAGAGGGAGACUUCGUCUCAAAAAGGAAGGAAGGAAGGAAGGAGAGAGAGAGAAAGAAAGAAAAAGAAAGGAAAAGAGAAGAGAAGAG
rnacentral:lncRNA from 1 species